GUCACCCCUCUCACUUUGCCAAUAAGACAUGUCAUGUCUCUGCUGGCCAUUCAAGUGGGGUAGAGUAAAAUGUCCUUUUAAAAAUCCAAGCAUAUUAUAUAUUUGACUUGGUUCCUGUCAGAGGGGAUAAUU